AAAGCGUGCGCAGGCGGUUUUGUAAGACUGUCGUGAAAUCCCCGGGCUCAACCUGGGAAUGGCGAUGGUGACUGCAAGGCUAGAGUUUGGCAGAGGGGGGUAGAAUUCCACGUGUAGCAGUGAAAUGCGUAGAUAUGUGGAGGAACACCGAUGGCGAAGGCAGCCCCCUGGGUCAAAACUGACGCUCAUGCACGAAAGCGUGGGGAGCAAACAGGAUAAGAUACCCCUGU
rnacentral:rRNA from 1 species